rnacentral:rRNA from 1 species
AUACGGAGGGGGCUAGCGUUGUUCGGAAUUACUGGGCGUAUAGCGCGCGUAGGCGGAUUGAUCAGUCAGGGGUGAAAUCCCGGAGCUUAACUCCGGAACUGCCUUUGAUACUGUCAAUCUUGAGUUCGAGAGAGGUGAGUGGAAUUCCUAGUGUAGAGGUGAAAUUCGUAGAUAUUAGGAAGAACACCAGUAGCGAAGGCGGCUCACUGGCUCGAUACUGACGCUGAGGUGCGAAAGCGUGGGGAGCAAACAGGAUUAGAAACCCUAGUAGUCC